AGUGAACGCUGGCGGUAGGCCUAACACAUGCAAGUCGAACGGCAGCACAGUAAGAGCUUGCUCUUACGGGUGGCGAGUGGCGGACGGGUGAGGAAUACAUCGGAAUCUACUUUUUCGUGGGGGAUAACGUAGGGAAACUUACGCUAAUACCGCAUACGACCUACGGGUGAAAGCAGGGGAUCUUCGGACCUUGCGGGAUUGAAUGAGCCGAUGUCGGAUUAGCUAGUUGGCGGGGUAAAGGCCCACCAAGGCGACGAUCCGUGGCUGGUCUGAGAGGAUGAUCGCCCACACUGGAACUGAGACACGGUCCAGACUCCUACGGGAGGCAGCAGUGGGGAAUAUUGGGCAAUGGGCGCAAGCCUGAUCCAGCCAUACCGCGUGGGUGAAGAAGGCCUUCGGGUUGUAAAGCCCUUUUGUUGGGAAAGAAAAGCAGCAGGUUAAUACCCCGCUGUUCUGACGGUACCCAAAGAAUAAGCACCGGCUAACUUCGUG
rnacentral:rRNA from 1 species